AAUUUCGUCAAUGGGCGCAAGCCUGAACGAGCAAUGCCGCGUGAACGAGGAAGGUCUUCGGAUCGUAAAGUUCUGUUGAAGGGGAAAAAGAGCGGAGAGAGGAAAUGGUCUCCGAUUGAUAUUACCCUUCGAGGAAGUCACGGCUAACUACGUGCC
rnacentral:rRNA from 1 species